rnacentral:lncRNA from 1 species
CUCAAUUCUCUCAGUCCAUUCAGCUCUGAAUGUAUUCCACGAACGUCUCUUAGGCAACACUUGUCAGAUCUGUGCCUAAGGCUUCUGAAUAGGCUUCAUUUCACCAAAGUCAACCCUGUUGGGCUGGGGAUGUAGCUCAGUGACAAAGUGCUUUCCUAGCAUGCACAGGUUCCAGGUUCAGUCCUCAGUACACCACACACAUACAUGCACACAUCAACUCUUUGUUUCCUGAGCGGAGAGAAGCUGUCUGUUGGCUGCCUGUGAGGUCCGAGUUGUUAGUUACCACAAACUAGAAUGGAGAAAGGGCAAGGCUACUGGAUUAGUCACUCUGACCAGCAUGCCCCUCAACUUCUCCUGUG